UACGUAGGGGGCAAGCGUUGUCCGGAUUCAUUGGGCGUAAAGCGCGCGCAGGCGGCUUCGCAAGUCGGCCGUGAAAUCUCCGGGCUCAACUCGGAGGGGUCGGGCGAGACUGCGAGGCUCGAGGUGGGCAGAGGGUAGUGGAAUUCCGGGUGUAGUGGUGGAAUGCGUAGAGAUCCGGAGGAACACCAGUGGCGAAGGCGGCUACCUGGGCCUGGCCUGACGCUGAGGCGCGAAAGCGUGGGGAGCGAUCCGG
rnacentral:rRNA from 1 species